GGCCUGGUGGUGUACUGCAACACAUCCUCCAGAGUUACUAGUAAUUCAAAGCAACUUUCGAGGAAAUCCCCCGUUCGAACCGGGGCCAGGUCA